rnacentral:rRNA from 1 species
CGACCGGCGCACGGGUGAGUAACACGUAUGCAACCUGCCCUCUUCAGGGGGACAACCUUCCGAAAGGGAGGCUAAUCCCGCGUAUAUCGGUUUCGGGCAUCCGAGAUCGAGGAAAGAUUCAUCGGAAGAGGAUGGGCAUGCGGCGCAUUAGCUAGACGGCGGGGUGACGGCCCACCGUGGCGACGAUGCGUAGGGGUUCUGAGAGGAAGGCCCCCCACACUGGGACUGAGACACGGCCCAGACUCCUACGGAAGGCAGCAG